GAUGAACGCUGGCGGCGUGCCUAAUACAUGCAAGUCGAGCGAACGGACGAGAAGCUUGCUUCUCUGAUGUUAGCGGCGGACGGGUGAGUAACACGUGGAUAACCUACCUAUAAGACUGGGAUAACUUCGGGAAACCGGAGCUAAUACCGGAUAAUAUUUUGAACCGCAUGGUUCAAAAGUGAAAGACGGUCUUGCUGUCACUUAUAGAUGGAUCCGCGCUGCAUUAGCUAGUUGGUAAGGUAACGGCUUACCAAGGCAACGAUGCAUAGCCGACCUGAGAGGGUGAUCGGCCACACUGGAACUGAGACACGGUCCAGACUCCUACGGGAGGCAGCAGUAGGGAAUCUUCCGCAAUGGGCGAAAGCCUGACGGAGCAACGCCGCGUGAGUGAUGAAGGUCUUCGGAUCGUAAAACUCUGUUAUUAGGGAAGAACAUAUGUGUAAGUAACUGUGCACAUCUUGACGGUACCUAAUCAGAAAGCCACGGCUAACUACGUGCCAGCAGCCGCGGUAAUACGUAGGUGGCAAGCGUUAUCCGGAAUUAUUGGGCGUAAAGCGCGCGUAGGCGGUUUUUUAAGUCUGAUGUGAAAGCCCACGGCUCAACCGUGGAGGGUCAUUGGAAACUGGAAAACUUGAGUGCAGAAGAGGAAAGUGGAAUUCCAUGUGUAGCGGUGAAAUGCGCAGAGAUAUGGAGGAACACCAGUGGCGAAGGCGACUUUCUGGUCUGUAACUGACGCUGAUGUGCGAAAGCGUGGGGAUCAAACAGGAUUAGAUACCCUGGUAGUCCACGCCGUAAACGAUGAGUGCUAAGUGUUAGGGGGUUUCCGCCCCUUAGUGCUGCAGCUAACGCAUUAAGCACUCCGCCUGGGGAGUACGACCGCAAGGUUGAAACUCAAAGGAAUUGACGGGGACCCGCACAAGCGGUGGAGCAUGUGGUUUAAUUCGAAGCAACGCGAAGAACCUUACCAAAUCUUGACAUCCUUUGACAACUCUAGAGAUAGAGCCUUCCCCUUCGGGGGACAAAGUGACAGGUGGUGCAUGGUUGUCGUCAGCUCGUGUCGUGAGAUGUUGGGUUAAGUCCCGCAACGAGCGCAACCCUUAAGCUUAGUUGCCAUCAUUAAGUUGGGCACUCUAAGUUGACUGCCGGUGACAAACCGGAGGAAGGUGGGGAUGACGUCAAAUCAUCAUGCCCCUUAUGAUUUGGGCUACACACGUGCUACAAUGGACAAUACAAAGGGCAGCGAAACCGCGAGGUCAAGCAAAUCCCAUAAAGUUGUUCUCAGUUCGGAUUAUAGUCUGCAACUCGACUACAUGAAGCUGGAAUCGCUAGUAAUCGUAGAUCAGCAUGCUACGGUGAAUACGUUCCCGGGUCU
rnacentral:rRNA from 1 species